rnacentral:tRNA from 3 species
UCCCCAGUAGCUCAGUUGGCAGCAGCGUCGGAUUGUUAAUCCGAAGGUCACUGGUUCGAGCCCAGUCUGGGGAGC